CNNNAGUGNCNGGAGGGCCUAACACAUGGCAGUCGAGCGGAUGAGAGGAGCUUGCUCCCUGAUUUAGCGGCGGACGGGUGAGUAAUGCCUAGGAAUCUGCCUGGUAGUGGGGGAUAACGUUCCGAAAGGAACGCUAAUACCGCAUACGUCCUACGGGAGAAAGCAGGGGACCUUCGGGCCUUGCGCUAUCAGAUGAGCCUAGGUCGGAUUAGCUAGUUGGUGAGGUAAUGGCUCACCAAGGCGACGAUCCGUAACUGGUCUGAGAGGAUGAUCAGUCACACUGGAACUGAGACACGGUCCAGACUCCUACGGGAGGCAGCAGUGGGGAAUAUUGGACAAUGGGCGAAAGCCUGAUCCAGCCAUGCCGCGUGUGUGAAGAAGGUCUUCGGAUUGUAAAGCACUUUAAGUUGGGAGGAAGGGCAUUAACCUAAUACGUUAGUGUUUUGACGUUACCAACAGAAUAAGCACCGGCUAACUUCGUGCCAGCAGCCGCGGUAAUACGAAGGGUGCAAGCGUUAAUCGGAAUUACUGGGCGUAAAGCGCGCGUAGGUGGUUCGUUAAGUUGGAUGUGAAAGCCCCGGGCUCAACCUGGGAACUGCAUCCAAAACUGGCGAGCUAGAGUACGGUAGAGGGUGGUGGAAUUUCCUGUGUACCGGUGAAAUGCGUAUAUAUANGAAGGAAUCCCUU
rnacentral:rRNA from 1 species